rnacentral:rRNA from 1 species
UACGAAGGGGGCUAGCGUUGCUCGGAAUCACUGGGCGUAAAGGGUGCGUAGGCGGGUCUUUAAGUCAGGGGUGAAAUCCUGGAGCUCAACUCCAGAACUGCCUUUGAUACUGAGGAUCUUGAGUUCGGGAGAGGUGAGUGGAAUUCCGAGUGUAGAGGUGAAAUUCGUAGAUAUUCGGAGGAACACCAGUGGCGAAGGGCGGCUCACCUGGUCCCAUUACUGACGCUGAGGC